rnacentral:rRNA from 1 species
AGACUUUGAUCCUGGCUCAGAUUGAACGCUGGCGGAAUGCUUUACACAUGCAAGUCGAACGGCAGCACGGGAGCUUGCUCCUGGUGGCGAGUGGCGAACGGGUGAGUAAUGCGUCGGAACGUACCGAGUAAUGGGGGAUAACGCGGCGAAAGUCGCGCUAAUACCGCAUACGCCCUGAGGGGGAAAGCAGGGGAUCGCAAGACCUUGCGUUAUUCGAGCGGCCGACGUCUGAUUAGCUAGUUGGUGGGGUAAUGGCUCACCAAGGCGACGAUCAGUAGCGGGUCUGAGAGGAUGAUCCGCCACACUGGGACUGAGACACGGCCCAGACUCCUACGGGAGGCAGCAGUGGGGAAUUUUGGACAAUGGGGGCAACCCUGAUCCAGCCAUGCCGCGUGAGUGAAGAAGGCCUUCGGGUUGUAAAGCUCUUUCGGCCGGGAAGAAAUCGUGCGGGCUAAUACCCUGUAUGGAUGACGGUACCGGAAGAAGAAGCACCGGCUAACUACGUGCCAGCAGCCGCGGUAAUACGUAGGGUGCGAGCGUUAAUCGGAAUUACUGGGCGUAAAGCGUGCGCAGGCGGAUUGUUAAGCAAGAUGUGAAAUCCCCGGGCUUAACCUGGGAAUGGCAUUUUGAACUGGCAGUCUAGAGUGCGUCAGA